rnacentral:rRNA from 1 species
UGCGUAGGUGGCGAGCGUUGUCCGGAUUUACUGGGCGUAAAGGGAGCGUAGGCGGACUUUUAAGUGAGAUGUGAAAUACUCGGGCUCAACUUGAGUGCUGCAUUUCAAACUGGAAGUCUAGAGUGCAGGAGAGGAGAAUGGAAUUCCUAGUGUAGCGGUGAAAUGCGUAGAGAUUAGGAAGAACACCAGUGGCGAAGGCGAUUCUCUGGACUGUAACUGACGCUGAGGCACGAAAGCGUGGGGAGCAAAUAGG